GACGAACGCUGGCGGCAUGCCUAACACAUGCAAGUCGAACGAGACGUUCGGGUCUAGGUGCGCACGUGGGCGUGAGGAGGGGGAACCUGCCCGUAGGUUAGGAAUAACUGCCCUAGGGGGGUGCUAAUGCCGCAUGAGGUCUUAGCGCCAAGGAGUUAUCGCCUUUGGAUGGGCGCGCGUUGGUUUAGGUGGUUGGUAGGGUAAAAGCCUACCAAGGCGUCGAUGCAUAGCUGGUGUGAGAGGAUGAUCAUCCACACUGGAAAUGCGACACGGACCAGAAUUGUACGGGAGGGAGCAGUGGGGAACAUUGGACAAUGGGCCAAAGCCUGAUCCCGCCACGCCGCGUGAGGGAUGCAGGGCUUAGGGUUGCACAGCUCCUUUACCCGGGAUGAUAAUGACAGUAACGGGAGAAUAAGCUCCGGCUAACUACGUG
rnacentral:rRNA from 1 species